rnacentral:rRNA from 1 species
GACGAACGCUGGCGGCGUGCUUAACACAUGCAAGUCGAACGGAAAGGCCCCUUUGGGGGUACUCGAGUGGCGAACGGGUGAGUAACACGUGAGUAACCUGCCCUUGACUUCGGGAUAACUUCAGGUAACUGGGGCUAAUACCGGAUAGGAAUCCUUGCUGCAUGGUGGGGGUUGGAAAGCUUCGGCGGUUUUGGAUGGACUCGCGGCUUAUCAGCUUGUUGGUGGGGUAGUGGCUUACCAAGGCUUUGACGGGUAGCCGGCCUGAGAGGGCGACCGGCCACAUUGGGACUGAGAUACGGCCCAGACUCCUACGGGAGGCAGCAGUGGGGAAUAUUGCACAAUGGGCGGAAGCCUGAUGCAGCAACGCCGCGUGCGGGAUGACGGCCUUCGGGUUGUAAACCGCUUUCAGCAGGGGCGAAGCUUGUGGUGACGGUACCUGCAGAAGAAGCACCGGCUAACUACGUG